UGGGCAGUUUGAUCAUGGCUCAGAACGAACGCUGGCGGCAGGCCUCAAACAUGCAAGUCUAGGGGGCGUACCAAUACGUCACCGGCGGACGGGUGCGUAACACGUGGGAAUGUACUUAUUGGUUCGGAACAACUCAGGGAAACUUGAGCUAAUACCGAAUGUGCCCGAAAGGGGAAAGAUUUAUCGCCAAUAAAUCAGCCCGCGUCCGAUUAGCUAGUUGGUGGGGUAAAGGCCCACCAAGGCGACGAUCGGUAGCUGUUCUGAGAGGAAGAUCAGCCACACUGGGACUGAGACACGGCCCAGACUCCUACGGGAGGCAGCAGUUGGGAAUCUUGGACAAUGGGGGAAACCCUGAUCCAGCCAUGCCGCGUGAGUGAUGAAGGCCUUCGGGUUGUAAAACUCUUUCGACGGGGACGAUAAUGACGGUACCCGUAGAAGAAGCUCCGGCUAACUUCGUGCCAGCAGCCGCGGUAAA
rnacentral:rRNA from 1 species